AGUGAACGCUGGCGGCAGGCCUAACACAUGCAAGUCGAACGGCAGCGCAGCAGUAGCAAUACUGUGGGUGGCGAGUGGCGGACGGGUGAGGAAUACAUCGGAAUCUGCCUAGUCGUGGGGGAUAACGUAGGGAAACUUACGCUAAUACCGCAUACGACCUACGGGUGAAAGCGGGGGAUCGCAAGACCUCGCGCGAUUAGAUGAGCCGAUGUCCGAUUAGCUAGUUGGCGGGGUAAUGGCCCACCAAGGCGACGAUCGGUAGCUGGUCUGAGAGGAUGAUCAGCCACACUGGAACUGAGACACGGUCCAGACUCCUACGGGAGGCAGCAGUGGGGAAUAUUGGACAAUGGGCGCAAGCCUGAUCCAGCCAUGCCGCGUGGGUGAAGAAGGCCUUCGGGUUGUAAAGCCCUUUUGUCCGGAAAGAAAAGCACUGGAUUAAUACUUCGGUGUUCUGACGGUACCGGAAGAAUAAGCACCGGCUAACUUCGUGCCAGCAGCCGCGGUAAUACGAAGGGCGCAAGCGUUACUCGGAAUUACUGGGCGUAAAGCGUGCGUAGGUGGUUCGUUAAGUCUGAUGUGAAAGCCCUGGGCUCAACCUGGGAAUUGCAUUGGAUACUGGCGGGCUAGAGUGCGGUAGAGGAUGUGCGGAAUUCCCGGUGUAGCAGUGAAAUGCGUAGAGAUCGGGAGGAACAUCUGUGGCGAAAGCGCGGCCAUCUGGACCAGCACUGACACUUAAGGUCCAAAGCCUGGGGAACCAACCAGAAUUAAUUCCCCGGGAAUCCCCCCCCCUAACCAAUACUGACUGGAGGUUGACCCUUUCUAGGCUCUCAUGCUCUAACCUACCCCUUUAACUCUCCCCCCGGGGAAGACCACCCCCAGGACUAAACUUCAAAGAAUUUGCCGGGGGCCCCCCCAACCGGGGAACUUGGGGGUUUAUUUCAAUGCACCCCAAAAACCCUUCCCUGGCCUGACCUCGCUCUGACCUUUCUAGAGAUGGAUUGUUCCCUCCGGACACAGGGGACCAGGGGCUGCUGGGUUGCCUCCACUCCUGGCCUGAAAAGGUGGGUUUAAUCCCCCCACCAACCCCACCCCUAGUGCCUAUCUCCCUCCUUCUAAUGGUCACUCCUCUAAGACUACCGCCAGUAAACCGCAGGAAGAAGGUGAUGACGACAUCUCGUCAUGCUGCUUCUGACCUGCGCUACUACCCUGCUACUAUGAUGGGGACGACAAAUCGCUGCCCACUCACGAGAGUGUAUCUCUUACAGACACUCUCUCUUCGGAUUGAUUGCAGUCUCUCACCUACUCCAUGAAGACUCACUCGCUAUCACUCAUCAUCACGCCUUGCUGAAUACAAUACCUGCCC
rnacentral:rRNA from 1 species